CAGUCGCCGCGGUAAAACGAAGGGGGCUAGCGUUGCUCGGAAUUACUGGGCGUAAAGGGAGCGUAGGCGGACAUUUAAGUCAGGGGUGAAAUCCCAGAGCUCAACUCUGGAACUGCCUUUGAUACUGGGUGUCUUGAGUGUGAUAGAGGUAUGUGGAACUCCGAGUGUAGAGGUGAAAUUCGUAGAUAUUCGGAAGAACACCAGUGGCGAAGGCGACAUACUGGAUCAUUACUGACGCUGAGGCUCGAAAGCGUGGGGAGCAAACAGGAUUAGAUACCCCGGUAGUCCCUGUCUCUUAUAC
rnacentral:rRNA from 1 species